AGGACGAACGCUGGCGGCGUGCUUAACACAUGCAAGUCGAACGAGAUCCAUUCAGUAGCAAUACUGAUGAAGAUCUAGUGGCGAACGGGUGCGUAACACGUGAGGAACUUGUCCCGGUCUCUGGGAUAACAGUUGGAAACGACUGCUAAUACCGGAUGACGUCGGAACUUCGCAUGGAGUACUGACGAAAGGGUUACUGGAUCGGGAGAGCCUCGCGGCCUAUCAGCUUGUUGGUGGGGUAAUGGCCUACCAAGGCAUCGACGGGUAGCUGGUCUGAGAGGAUGAUCAGCCACACUGGGACUGAGACACGGCCCAGACUCCUACGGGAGGCAGCAGUGGGGAAUCUUGCACAAUGGGCGAAAGCCUGAUGCAGCAACGCCGCGUGCGGGAAGAAGGCCCUCGGGUUGUAACCGCUUUCAGAAGGAACGAACUGACGGUACUUUCAGAAGAAGGUGCGGCCAACUACGUGCCAGCAGCCGCGGUAAUCGUA
rnacentral:rRNA from 1 species